UCUCUCUCUCUCUCUCUCUCUCUCUCUCUCUCCCAAGUCCCAUUCUUGCAGGCCGAUCACCAAAGGGAGGAGGCAGUCGUCGGUUGCUUGGGAGAGCUCACGGCAUUCCUAUGCUGCUCAAGGACAGCAUAUCCACCAAUAACAAGCAACAAGAUGGCUGGGUCAUGCGCGCUGCUGGGAUCUCAGAUGGCAUGAGAGAAAUCAGCAGCUGGAGUCUUGCGUUUUUCGCGUUUUGUGGUGGAGGUUUUAUGCAGCAUGGAAAGAAAGAGAAAGCUUGCGUAAAGAAAAGAAAGAUUUGGAUGGGUAAGAACAAAGUUGAGACUUGAGAGGACGAUGUCUGGCUUGCGUAAAGAAAAGAAAAAUCUGGAUGGAUAAGAACAGAUUUGAGACUUGAGAGGACAAUUGAUGGCAUGCGUAAAGGUUUUCUUUAUAAUAAAGUAGAGGCUUUUAGCGAGAGAAAGAAAGAAAGAAAAAAAUAAAAUAAAACUUUCCAAUAUUAUGUUUUUCAAAAAUAAUAAUAAUAGCAUGCAGACUUAAAAAAAAAAAAUUAAAAAAAAAAAUCCGAUUUCAACUCGGAAUCCGGAAUCCGGGUUUUUAAAAAUUCAGAUUCAUCCGGAUUUCUGUCCAGAUUUGAUCCGGAAUAACCCAGUCCGAGUUCCAGUCCGAAUUUCAAAUCUAGAUUUCGGUCUAGAUAAUUCUGAAUUUCCGAGUUAGAAUUCGAUUGAACAGCCUUACUGAAGUGAACUCAGAUGCUUCUAACAUACAAACGAGCCCUAACAUACCAAGACUCCAUCUGCUCACUUGAUAUCUUCACAGGCUUCUCAAUUUUUUGAACAUAAUAAUUGGGUAGUUGCCUAUUUUGUACGUACAAGAGAGAAUAAAAGAGCAGCAUGUAGAUAUUUUUUGAGAACUUCUUAGAUAAGGGAGGUGUUUUUUCUUGUGGAACUUUGGAUUCAACCAUUUGUAUAAGAUUGGUUCCAACUAUACAACAAUCAGUUGAGCUAUUGUAUGUUAAAGGAAACAAGUUAAGACUCAAGAGAAUGUCUAAUGUACCGGUUCAUUUGAAAUUUGUAUUUCGUAGAGAGUUUGAAUAUCAAAAAAGUGAGAUAUCCGUGUCUAUGUCGAAAUAAACUCGAAUUAAUUUAAUGUAAAUUUUAAUUUUAUUGUAAUUUUUAUUUUAUUACUAUCAUUUUA